AUCGAACGCUGGCGGCAUGCCUAAUACAUGCAAGUCGAGCGAGCGGCGGACGGGUGAGUAAUGUCUGGGAAACUGCCCGAUGGAGGGGGAUAACUACUGGAAACGGUAGCUAAUACCGCAUACCAUCAGAUGUGCCCAGAUGGGAUUAGCUAGUAGGUGGGGUAAUGGCUCACCUAGGCGACGAUCCCUAGCUGGUCUGAGAGGAUGACCAGCCACCCUGGGACGGAGACACGGACCAGACUCCUACGGGAGGCAGCAGUGGGGAAUAUUGCACAAGGGGCGAAAGCCUGAUGCAGCCAUGCCGCGUGUAUGAAGAAGGCCUUCGGGUUGUAAAGCACUUUCAGCGGGGAGGCGUUACCCGCAGAAGAAGCACCGGCUAACUCCGUGCCAGCAGCCGCGGUAAUAC
rnacentral:rRNA from 1 species